UGGGCGACUCUAAGGAGACUGCCGGUGACAAACCGGAGGAAGGUGGGGAUGACGUCAAGUCAUCAUGGCCCUUACGGCCUGGGCUACACACGUGCUACAAUGGUCGGUACAAAGGGUUGCCGAGCCGCGAGGUGGAGCUAAUCCCAUAAAACCGAUCGUAGUCCGGAUCGCAGUCUGCAACUCGACUGCGUGAAGUCGGAAUCGCUAGUAGUCGUGAAUCAGAAUGUCACGGUGAAUACGUUCCCGGGCCUU
rnacentral:rRNA from 1 species